rnacentral:lncRNA from 1 species
UCAGCAGAGAAACUUUGAUUGCACUGGCAAAGCCAGAAGUGUAAGAAAUUUCUCUUUGCAUAGGAAAAUUUCAUUCACCAGAUAUAUAACACGCAUUUAUUAAGGGCCUUCUAAACCUGAGAGGGAAAUGGGAACCCACUUCCCAGCUCCACGGUCUUAUGGGCAAACGGGAAGUUAAAUAAGCAAAAACAAUACAGUGUGGGUCAGUGCUCUGAAUUUCAGGGUGGGAUAGAAUGCUAGGCUGGGACCCAAACUUAUGACAGUGGGGGAAAGAAACCCCACCUUUGCUGUCUAUGCCACUGGUGACUUUGAGGGUGGAAGUCAGUCUUUUUGUUGCAGGCAGAUAGGCCAGCUUCUGAUUGGAGAUGCUGCAUACCACAUGAGCCUGGGCAGAUUAUACCUAUUCCUGUGCUGUCCACAUAGCAGAUAUUCAGUUAAUGCCCAUUGAGUGGAUGCUGAUUUGCGUCAGCGAGUAAAUGUAGCAUUCGACCUGAUCUAACUCCAAAGUAAUAUUAAAUUCAGGUCUUCUCUAACAACACCAUUUAUUGAGUGCUUAAGAAAAUCCUGGCACUGUGUAAAAUGUAUUACAUAAAUUAUUUAAUUGUUACCAAAACCUAAUAACAGAAUGACUGUAAUUGUACCUAUUUUAUAGGUGAGAAAUCUGAGACAGAAAGGAAGAAAUAACUCACCUAAAGUUACACAGGCACAGCCAAUAAGGGGCCAACCUAGACUUUGAACCGAGGUGGUCAGUCACCAGAGACCACUGUCCUCUAUUCUGCCUCUCCAAGACUAGUAAAAAGCCCUGGGCAUUUUCUUGGAGGGACAGAUGGCUAGGCUGAUGGUUCCUGCAAGCCCAGACAUAGAGUCCUUCAAAGCCGCAAUCCCAGGGAUCAGGAGGCUGAUAGUACUCCCUAUUUUACCUGUCACUUCCCACCUUCUUCCAUAGCCUCUAAUCUUGGAUUAUUGAGACUGGUCGCAUGGGAACAGGCAUGACUGCAGCCUAGGACAUGCCUCCACUCUGCCAUACUUGAAAUGUGCUCAUCUCCUUACAGCCCAGGGAGCAGCUAUUGUGGGUAGAAGACAAGGUGGAGGCCAGGCAGGCACUUCCCUUCCCCAGAGCCACUUAUGCUCUCAUCUAAGAGCCCUGAAACCAGGUGUGACAUCCCAG